rnacentral:rRNA from 1 species
ACUGAACCUUAUCAUUUAGAGGAAGGAGAAGUCGUAACAASSUUUCCGUAGGUGAACCUGCGGAAGGAUCAUUGUCGAUGCCUGCACAGCAGAACGACCAGCGAACCGGUGAACACACACGCGGGAGAGGACGUGGGUUUGCCCACGCGCUCUCCUGGCUCAGGGGGCAGCACCCGCCGCAUCGUCCGUCUGGUGCCUGCAUCCUGGGCCGCUCGAACAAAAAACUCGGCGCAGAACGCGCCAAGGAACUCAUAACAUGUCCGCGUCUCCCGGCGGCCCAAGCGAUUGGGUGAGAUCGAGAGACGCACUGUGAAUGUCUGAAAACGACUCUCGGCAACGGAUAUCUCGGCUCUCGCAUCGAUGAAGAACGUAGCGAAAUGCGAUACUUGGUGUGAAUUGCAGAAUCCCGUGAACCAUCGAGUCUUUGAACGCAAGUUGCGCCCGAAGCCAUUAGGCCGAGGGCACGUCUGCCUGGGCGUCACACAACGUUGCCCCCCCACAACCUCUCGGUUCAAGGGGCGGACGCUGGCCUCCCGUCUCCCCGCGGUUGGCCUAAAUGCAGUCUGCGGCGGUCAGUGCCGGAGCAAUCGGUGGUGUUGCGAAACCCAGCGUCCCAUGCUCCUGCACGGCCCGCCGGCCGGACGGUCAGUYCCCCCAAYGCCGCGCCUAAAGCGGCGUCCACAGCGCGACCCCAGGUCAGGCGGGGCUACCCGCUGAGUUUAAGC